UACGGAGGGGGCUAGCGUUGUUCGGAAUUACUGGGCGUAAAGCGCACGUAGGCGGCUUUGUAAGUUAGAGGUGAAAGCCCGGGGCUCAACUCCGGAAUUGCCUUUAAGACUGCAUCGCUAGAAUUGUGGAGAGGUAAGUGGAAUUCCGAGUGUAGAGGUGAAAUUCGUAGAUAUUCGGCGGAACACCAGUGGCGAAGGCGACUCACUGGCCCGAUACUGACGCUGAGGCGCGAAAGCGUGGGGAGCAAACAGG
rnacentral:rRNA from 1 species